AUACUCAACAGGACUUGGUCCUUUCCCUGUGGUCCUGACCUAUGAUUUAUGAGCAAAAGAAAUUGAACUGAUUUGGGGUACCCCACCUGAAUGUACAUGGUAGAGCACAGUUUUCAGUACAAAA